UAAAUUUUCUCCCUGAAACCCUUAAUUUUCCCCCCUAAAAUCGGUAUCCUCAAAACACCCUUUAGGUGUUUCUCUCUGCCACCACCGUCUUCAUCAUCAUCGUUCCCCUACUUUUGCUACUUUAAGCUCCUCUUUUUCUCAACCGCCCUCAUCAACAGCAGUAACUCCUCCUCCUCCUACUUCAGUAAGAUUUUUAAUUCUUACUGAGCAAGCCAAAAUGGGAGUUAACGGUCUAUGGGAACUGCUAGCUCCCGUCGACCGCUGCAUGUCCGUCGAAACCUAGCCGGAAAGAAACUCGCCAUCAGUGAACUCUGAAUCCCUAACACUUGUAAUUUUAAAUUGUUUUAACAAAUUAUUUACUUUGUGUGUGUGUGUGUGUUUUGUUUUUGAAGAUGCAAGUAUUUGGAUGGUUCAAUUCAUGAAAGCGAUGAGAGAUGAGAAGGGAGAAAUGAUUCGAAACGCGCAUUUUUUAGGGUUUUUUAGGAGAAUUUGCGAGCUUUUAAAGUAAAGUAAUAGUAUUUAGUUAAAAAUGAAUAAUUGAAUUCGAUAUUGUCCUUAAAAAUAUGGCAUCUUUAAAGUUUAAGAUUGAAAAAAAACACACUACACCAAAAUAGGCUUUUAGCGGCAUAUUUUGUGGCGUUUGGAUGACAAACGCUGCUAAAAAUCGAGUAUUAGCGGCGCAAUGAACUAAACGCCGCUAAAGAUCUAGAAUUAGUGGCGCAACCUGGAAAACGCCCCAAAAUUCGGAUAUACAGUGGUGUUUUCUGAAUAAACGCCGUAAAAGAACAUCAUUAGCGGCGUUUACAGCAAAGCGCCGCAAAAUCUCUUAACCAAAACGCAGCGUUUUCGUCUUGAUGUAUACAAGAAUUAGUGGCGCUUAGGAGAAAACGCCGCUAAAGCGUAUUAGCAGCGUUUUGCGAGAUGCACUGCAAAAUAUCUUAACCAAAACGCAUCGUUUUUAGUGUUGAUGUAUCCUAGAAUUAGUGGCGCUUACCGAAAAACGCCGCUAACGCAUAGUAUUAGCGGCGCUUUGCAAAAAGCGCCGCAAAAGAUCUUAACCAAUACGUAGAGUUCGGUCUUGAGGUAUGUUAGAAUUAGUGGCGCUUAUAGGAAAACGCCGCAAAAGCGCCGCAAAAUAUUUGAACCAAAAUGCAUCGUUUUGGUAUUGAUGUAUACUAGAAUUAGUGGCGUUUAUGGUAAAACGCCGCUAAAGCAUAGUAUUAGCGACGAUUCUUUGCUAGCGCCACAAAAUAUCCUAACUAAAAGGCAGCGUUUUGGUCUUGAUGUAUACUAAAAUUAGUGGCGCUUACGGGAAACCGCCGCUAAAGAAUAGUAUUAGCGGCGCUUUCAUCUUAACCAAAACGCAUAGUUUUAACUUGAUGUAUACUAGAAUUAGUGGCGCUUACUAGAAAACGCCGUUAAAGCAUAGUAUUAGCGGCGCUUUGUAAAAAGCGUCGCAACAUAUCUUAACAAAACGCGGAGUUUGGUCUUGAGGUAUGUUAGAAUUAGUGGCGCUUAUAGGAAAACGCCGCAACUGGAUAGUAUUAGCGGCGCUUUGCGGAAGCGCCGCAAAAUAUCUGAACCAAAACGCAUCGUUUUGGUCUCGAUGUAUACUUCAAUUAGUGGCGCUUACGUUGAAACGCCGCCAAAACGCAAAAUACCUUAACCAAAACGCAGCGUUUUGGUCGUGAUGUAUACUAAAAUUAGUGGCACUUAGGGUAAACCGCCGCGAAAGCAUAUUGUUAGCGGCGCUUUGUUGCAAGCGCCGCAAAAUAUCUUAACAGUGUUUUGGUCUUAACCAUGCAUUAUAUAAUGUAGGUUAUUAUAUAUUUAGUUUAUCAUAUUUGGUUUAGGUUUAGGGUAUUAGGGUUCAUUAUAUAAUGUUUAGUAUUUUUGGAUUAUAGUUUAGGGUUUAAAGUUUACGAUGUAAGUUUAGUGUUUUUGGUUUAGGGUUUGAGAGUUUGGUGAUUAAGGUUUAGUGAUUAUUAUAAGUUAAAAAGUUUAUCGUAUAUAGUUUAGGGUUUUAGGGUUAAUCAUUAUAUAAUGUUUAUUAUUUUGUGAAUAUUAGAGUUUUGAGUUUAGGGUUUAUGAUGUAGGUUUUGGUGUUUAGGGUUUAGUAGUUUGGGGUUUAAGGUUUAGGCUCUGGGGUUUAGGUCAUUUUAGUCAUGUUAAGAGGUUAAUUAGUGUUUUAGGGCUUGAUGCUUGUGGUUAAUGGUUUGCAGUUUAUAAUUUAAGGUUUACAAUGCAUGGUUUUGAGUGUAAGGUUACGGGUUUAGAGUGUAAGGUUUGUAGUUUAGGGUUUAAGAAGUUAAAGUUUAAAGGUUACGGGUUUAGAGUGUAAGGUUAGGGGCCUAUGGUUUAGGGUUUAAAUUUUAUUUUCCACAUUUAAGGGAUAUGCUAAAAACAUAGGAAAAUAUAUGUUAAAAAUAGAAAAAAUUAAAAUAGUAUUAUUUAAAAUAAUUUGAAAAUAAUUUUAAGUUUGACCAGUAGUGGCGUUUUUCGUGAAAAUGCCACAAAUAUUCAUUGAAAGAUAGCAAAACAGUGUCGUUUUGUCUGAUUUUUUGGUGGCGUUUUGACUAAAACGCCGCAAAAGGAGUUAUAUUAGUGGCGUUUUUACACAAUUUUGUUUUUAGUCGCUGUUAAACGUUGUCGUUUUUAUGUACGUUUUCAGUGGCGUUUUUACUAAACCGCCGCAAAAUAAUUUGUAUUAGUGGCGUUUUUUGUAACGCCGCAAUUAUUUUAUUAGGCUUUUGUAAACGUUGUCGUUUUUAUCUACAUUAGUAGUGGCGUUUUAGCACAAAUUGCCGCAAUUAUGAUGAAGGUGUUCGAUAAACGUUGUCGUUUUUAUCUAUGUUUUUAGUGGCGUUUGUACCAAAACGCCGGUAAAGGAUAUGUUUUAGUGGCGUUUUAUUAUAAACGCCGCAAUUAUGUUUUAAGUGUUUCCUAAACGUUGUCGUUUUGUAUCUACGAUAUUUUAAUGCAUUAGUGGCGCUAUUUAUAAACGCCGCAAAUUUAUAUUGAACUAACGUAAACGACGUCGUUUGUGUAGCGCUGAAUUUCCUUAGUUCACCCCCACUCUGAUUUCCCCAAUUUCAUUUCCCUAAUUUCCCAUUUCCUAUUCCCCCAACUUCCCCAAUUUCAUUUCCCCCCAAUUCCCUUUCCCCCAAUUUCCCCGAUUUAAUUUCCCUAAAUCCCUAAAUUCCCAAAUUCCCCCUGUCAUUGCAGUCGUCUCCACUCCGGCUGUCGCUCUGUCACCCGCUUUCACUGUCGUCUACUUCUUCUACUCACUGUAAGUUUCCUUGUUUCCACAUUGCACGAUUUUCCGUUAUUUGUUUUGAUUAAGGUUAUAUUUCUUUCGAUUAAAGCCCUUUAUUCCGUUAUUUGUUACCUUGUUGAAUCGGGUGCAUGUUUUCGAUAUUAAUCUUUUGGAUUAUUUUGGUCAAGGUCACAGAGCAACUAAUCUAGUGGAGGAUUAAGGCUUGGGGAGUUGUUCAUCUUCUGCAAGGGUAAGUUACUGAUUUGGGGGUUCAAAAUUGGCUUUGCUUUAAACUAUUGACUUCAUAGACAAGAAGAUUAGGGGAUUUUUAAUUUUGCUUUAAACUUGGCAAUCGGCAAUUGCAUCUAUGCAUUUAAAUCAAUGCUGCGUAUUUUAUACAUUGGGUUUUCUCGUAUUUGUUAGUUUUUUUUUGCUUUAUUAUUGGUUGGUGAUCCUGGAAUUAAAAAAAAUUAUUCUCUGUGUUUAGGGUUUUUGUUCUUCAGCUGUUUUGUUCAUCCUCUGGUACUGUAAUGCUUCGAUUACAUUUAUUAACUUAUAAAAAUGUUCUGUUAAAUAUAAUAAAAGCCGAUUACAUUUCCAGGUAAUGAAUUGGAUUUUUAAGUUGAAUUUUAUUAGGCCAUGUUGUUUUUUAGUAUGAUUUUUAGCCGAAUAUAUAUCAUAUUUGUUUGUUUGUUAAAAUUGUCUUUCAUCCAUUUUCUUAUUGCCAUUUGUGAUUAUAUAAGUGAUGAAAUGAGAUAAUAUCAAAUUGAUGCAUUAGUAAAAAAAACUAAAAUUUAUUUAGCCGAAUGAAAAUGGGUCAAUGUGUUCUAGAAUCCGUGUUACCAAUUAGUACCUAUUCGGUUUGUGGUUUGUAAACUAUGAAUUUAGUUUCUAAACUACUCAUUUAUGGUUUGUAAUCUGAUUCAUAAUCACAAGAUGUACCUCAAGUGUUAGGUUUUAUUUAUUUGAAAUGAAAUAUUUUAAUUAAUUGGUAACAAUUUGCAAUGCUUAGAAAAUGAACACAUAAUUUUCAUAGUCUCUCUAGCAUGUUAAUAUUUUCCACAAAAUAAAUAACUUAUUCCUAAAUCUUAAACCCGUGCAAUUUAUUGUCAAUGUCAGACUUCAAGAAUUAAGAAAUGGACCGUUCUUGGAUGAAUUUGUCAAGGGUAAGCGACGGUUAUCGAAAUGGAGUACAGACUUUUCUAAAUUUUGCAUUUCAAUAUGCAAGCCAAGAGAACAUGAUUCUUUGCCCGUGUAAGAAGUGUGUCAACAUAAACUGGCAUUAUCGUGAAGUAGUAUAUGAGCAUCUAAUUUUUGAUGGGUUUGUUUGGGGUUAUAAACAAUGGCUUUUUCAUGGAGAAUGCCCGCCUAGUACAUCCUCUUCAAGGAUGGAUGUAUCUUAUGAUGGUAAUGCUUACCAUUAGUCUGUUAGAGGGGAUGACAUGGAAGGGAUGUUGCGGGAUGCAUUUAAUAUGCACAAUCAUGGUGUGCAAUCGUUCCCAAGGGAUUUUAUGGCAUCUGAUGAUUGUAAUAUUAGUGGAACUGCUUUUACCGUACCGGGAAGUAGUGUACCUCAUGAAGAGCCAAAUGGAGAAGCGGCGAAGUUCGACGCUCUACUUAAUGACAUGAACGAAGAACUGUAUGAGGGAUCAAAAUUUUCAAAAAUGUCCUUCUGUGUUCGUCUUUUUCAGUUAAAAUGUUUGGGAGGGUGGACCGGAAACUCGUUGACAAUGCUAUUAGAGUUUUUGAGAGAAAUGUUUCCGUUUGCAAAAAUCCCUCAGUCAUGCAAAGAUAUGAAGAAAAUGAUAAAAGAUUUAGGUCUUGGGUACAACAAAAUCCAUAGUUGCCCAAAUGACUGCAUGUUGUAUUGGGGCGAUCGGAAAAACCAACAAUGCUGUCAUGUAUGCGGCCAAUCCCGUAAAAUAAAUAGAAACACAGAAGAUGGGAACGACGAUGAAAAUGAUGCACAGUCGAGGAAGAAGCCAGUUAAGAUUUUGCGGUAUUUUUCGUUGAUACCAAGGCUUCAAAGGCUUUGCAUGUCUUCGAAGACAGCGAAGUCAAUGACGUGGCACCAUGAUGGACGAACCGAUGAUGGAUUACUAAGGCAUCCGGCAGAUUCUUUAGCUUGGAAAGCAUUUGACAAUAUAUUUCCAAGCUUUGCAAGCGAUCCUAGGAGUGUGAGGCUUGGGCUAGCAUCUGAUGGAUUUAAUCCUUUCAAGAUCAUGAGCACUGCCUACAGUACUUGGCCAGUAGUGCUUGUUCCUUACAAUCUACCUCCGUGGAUUUGCAUGAAGCAAUCUUCCCUUAUCUUAUCUAUGAUUAUCCCUGGAGAGAAAGGGCCCAGGAAUGAUAUCGACUUUUAUUUACAGCCACUUAUUGAAGAGUUAAAACAAUUAUGGGCUGGUGUCGAGACAUACGAUGUGCUGAGAAAGGAGAACUUUAAUUUACGUGCAGCUUUGAUGUGGACCAUUAAUGACUUUCCCGCUUAUGCCAAUUUAUCCGGUUGGAGUACUAAGGGUCGUUAUGCGUGUCCUUGUUGUGCUGCACAAACAUGCUCGCAAUGGUUGUACAAUGGGAAAAAGUUCUCUUACAUGGGGCAUCGUCGGUGGUUACCGAAAAAUCAUAGAUUUAGAUUUCAGAGUUCUGUAUUUGACGGCACUGAAGAGUUCAGAGAAGCUCCUUCCCAGACCAGUGGCUCUGAAAUCUUGUUCAUGUUGGAAGAUAUGAAUUUCAUUUAUGGGAAGAUGAACCAACCGCCAAACACACAAAGAAACAGAAGAUCAAAUGAUGAAGCUGAUGAUGACUCUGACGAAGAGGACGAUCCUAAUGAGGCAGACUUGUGGAAAAAAAGAAGUAUUUUUUUUGAGUUGCCUUAUUGGGAGCAUCACCUUUUACGACACAAUCUUGAUGUUAUGCACAUUGAGAAAAAUGUCUGCGAGAACAUUGUGGGUACAAUUUUGAAUGUCGACGGAAAAUCAAAAGACAAUCUUCAGAGUCGACUUGAUUUAGUCCAGAUGGGAAUUCGGCCUGAUCUUCAUCCCAAUCCACUUCCGAAUGGGAAAUAUCGAUUGCCGCCUUCUAUUUUCUCAAUGUCGAAGAUGGAGAAAGAACUGUUUUGUAUGGUGCUGAAGGAUAUGAAGGUUCCAGAUGCGUAUGCAGCAAAUAUAUCUCGAUGUGUUAGUGUUAAAGAUCGAAGAUUAUAUUCGCUAAAAUCACAUGACUAUCACAUCUUGAUGCAAGAUUUACUGCCAGUUGCUCUACGAUGUUGUAUGUCCAAGAAGGUGACGUCUUGUAUCAUUGAACUAUCCAAUAUAAUGAAAGCCAUUUGUGGCAAAGUUUUGGAUAUUCAAGAACUUCAGAAGGUACAGGAUUGAGCCGCUUUGACUUUAUACAACAUGGAGAAAAUCUUCCCACCUUCCUUCUUCACCAUUAUGGUUCACUUGAUAAUCUAUCUCCCGCACGAAGCAAUUCUUGGCGGACCCGUUUUCUAUCGAUGGAUGUAUCCCAUAGAAAGGUGUUAAUUAAAUUUUUUUAAAAUUUUCCUUCAUUCACCUCUAUGCCUUUAGUUACAACUUUUGAUAAUGUUGUAUAUUGUGUUUAGGUUCCUAUCCAAAUUUAAGUCUUACUGCCGCAACAAGCGAUAUCCAGAAGGAUCGAUCGCUGAAAGCUACUUGGCAGAGGAAUGUAUGACCUUUUGCUCAAUAUAUUUGGAAGAUGUCGAAACAAGGUUGAACAAACCAAAUAGGAAUGUUGGACUCACGGACUAUAACUUAGCUGAUACUUAUUUGUUCCAAAGUUUUGGAGAACCAAUCGGCAAAGUUGAAAUUGCAGAAUUAGAUUAUUUAUCGUGGGUACAAGUACAUUGAUAUGUUCUGUUUCACCACGAAUCAUUGGAACCUUUACGGAAGUAAAUUAUACAAAUUUUAUAAAUAUUUAUCAAAUUAAAAAUUGUUUAUCUUCUAACAAAGUGAACAUUUUUUUAACACAGUGAGUACAAACAAAUAUUGAGAUCUCGUUCGCGCUCCCGAAGAACACAACAUCGAGAUAUCAAUAAGUUGUUUACAGAAUCUUUUUAUGAAUGGUUAAGCCAAACGGUAUGCAGUUGGAGCUUUCGCUUACAUCUAAAAAUAAUGCUUCUCAUAACAUUUUUAAUUACUCAGUUUACUUUCCAUUCAAUAGGUUUAGAGUGGGAAAAACGUAAACGACGAAGUUAAAUGGCUCUCCCAAGGUCCAAAUCGAGUGGUUAAAAGAUAUAGUGCGUUUCUCAUCAACGGAUUCAGAUUUCAUACAAAAUAUCGCGAGAGCUUGAGGAGAACGCAAAAUUGUGGAAUAGUUGUUAAUUCUGCAAUUACAAGUUAUGCUAGUGCUAGGGACAAUAAUCCUGUCGAGGGAAAUGUGGAAUAUUUUAGACAUCUUACUGACAUAAUUGAGUUGGAUUACUACGGCAAAUAGAAAGUUGUCUUAUUUCGAGGUGAUUGGGCCGAUGUUAAUAUAGCUCGUGGAAUUAAGCAAGAUCAAUUUGGUUUUACAAUGGUGAACUUUGACCGAUUGAUUCACACAGGACAACAACUGAUAGAUGAGCCGUAUGUAUUCUCAUCUCAAGUCAAACAAGUUUUUUACUCAAAAGAUCCAACUGAUGAGGGUUGGUACGUUGUUCUCUGUAACAUCCCUAGAGACUUGUUUGACAUGGGUAGUGGAAGUAGAGAUAACAUCGACGACAGAUCAGAAACUUUGCCCAUUCCAGAACAAAACUUAAACGAUAAUAUCCCUAGUACUAGUGCACAAUUUCAAUGGGUUCAUCAGGAUACGGAUAAAGAUAUUUACGAAUAAUGAUGUAGUAAGAUUUUACGAUUGUUUAAUUAUAUAUAAUAUCAUAAUUGAAAUCUUGGUCUUAUUAUAGAUUUCAACUAUUUUAUGUAUGUUGUUAUUGUUGUAAUUAGUUAUUAAGUUUACUUACAUUUUAUGUGUAUUGCAGAUAAAAUGCCUAGAAAAAUUCUAAGGGAAAGCAUUGUUCAAAAUGAUCCAAACUCGACAGAAACAAAUAGUACUGAAAAACAGACAGUAAUUGGAUCUUUGAACGUUCCAAUUACACCUGAGGAUCCUACGGAAGUUCAAAGUAAUUUUACAUUUAUUUUACAUGCGUGUUGACUUAUAAUUGAUUUAUUUUUCAAAUUCUUAUAUUAUAAUAUACCAUUUGUAGCUGAAAAUGGUGGGACGCGCAGAGGUCGAGGACGUACGCUUCUUAGAGAGUUAUACGAGUUAGAUCCAGUCGAGCGUGUCAAGGUAUGCAGAAACAGUUUUGGUCAGCCUGUCGAAUCAGAAGCUCGACUUUUAGCAGGAUACAUAGGCAUUUUAGCACGAAAUGCGAAUAUGUUGCCUAUCAACUACGAGUCAUGGCGUCAAAUGCCUGAUAGCAACAAAAACCAAGCCCUCGAUAAUAUUAAGGUAACAAAAUGUUAAUGUCAUCUGUAAUGCUUGGGAAAUAGUUUCAUUUAUAUUUACUUUAUUAACUUGUGUUUAUUGUAGGCGAUGUUUGCUUUAGAGGUCUCGGAUGCUUAUGUAAAGAAGGCAUUGGGAAAAAGAUGGAGAGACAAUAAAAGUACUUUGAAGAAAAAUUAUUAUAAGACAAAAACAACACUCGAUGAGAAAUUGCAAAAUGUCCCGCAGGGUAUGUUGAGGUAUCAAUGGGAAGAUGCGGUUAGAUUUUGGCAUUCGAAGAAAGGCGAGGUACGACGUACUUCUAAACUAUUGUAAUUAUUUUGGUUUAUAGUAUUUACUAUUUACGUACUAAAAAUUUUAUAACGUAGGAUCAUGAACGAGUUGGCAGCAACAAAAAUUCACUAACACAGCCGGGUCGAGAAGUUUUGCAUGUGUAGGUGAGGCAGAAGUAUUUUUAAUUUUUUAAUAUUCUCAAAUAUGUAUAGCUUUCUAUUAAAUAAUAUUUUUACUACUAUAUUGUAGGAACGGUCGUCCGGUCAAAAAGUUAGACGCCUUCAACUUUUUGAAAUUACAUAUAAGAAGAAAGAUGGAUCUGCUAUGACUCUUGAAGCUGGUGAAAUUAUGGUACGUUUACUUAAUACGAUUUGACUUGUUUUAGUUAUUUAUAGUGUUUAUUUUCUAAUGGUUUAAUAUAUUGCUUGUAAUGCGACUAUUGUUAUAUUGCAUUUGUUUUUUUUAAAAUAUAUAUUGCGUUCCUAACUAUGUGAUUUAUUUAUUAGGAAACACUAAAGGAUAAAAAGACGGAGUACGAAACGAUUGCUUCUAGUGAUAGUUCUGUUCAUCUUGAAGACAUUGAUAACCGGAUUAUUACUGAAGUUUUGAGUCCUAAAAGGUAUGGUCGGGUUCAAUUUCAAGGAUCUUUUAUCAGCCAACCCAAUAUUUUGGAUCUAGCUUGCACCAAUACAUGGCUUCGGGGAGUCAAUCUCAAGCUAAAGUUUAAAGGUUAAAAUACCAGAUGGCUUAGAUGCAAGCGACCACAUUUGAGGUUCAAAGGAAAUAUGAAGAACUUCAGCAAUAACUUAAAACAGCGGCAGCAGAGAGGGAAGCAGAGGCAGCAACGAGGGAAGCAGAGGCUGCAGCGAGAGAAGCAGAGGCCGCAGCGAGAGAAGCAGAGGUUUAAAAGAAAUAUGAACAACUACAGCUACGACUUCAAGUAGAUGCGGCAUCGAGAGAAGCAGAGCAGAGCAAAAAGUACGACAAACUUCAACAACAGCUUCAGAUUAUGAUGAAUAUGUUUCAACAGUCGCAACUUCCGCCGUCAUAGUGUAUAUUGCAUAAAUAUUUUUAUCAUUUUAACUUUUAACGUUUUUGUAAAGAAAAGUAUGAAUUCACUUUUAUUUAUUGAUAUUAAUAUCAUUUUAGUCAUUUAAUUUGAAAUAUUAUAUAAAUUUAUUGUUUUUGGUUAGUUUAGAUCUGGUUGCUUUUGAUUUGUUGUUGCAGGAGGGCUGAAAAAAACAAAAAAUUUUAUUUUAAAAAAAUCCCAAAAUUAGUGGCAUUUUUUAAAAAAGCGCCGCUAAAAGUCAUAUCAUAUAGUGGCGUUUGUGAAAUAAGCGCCGCAAAGGAGCACUACUUUUAGCGGCGCUUUUUACCAAGCGCUGCUAUAGAACAUUACUUUUAGCGGCGUUUUUUUCUAAACGCCGCUAAAGAUCAUGUUUCUUUAGCGGCGUUUUCUCCCAAGCGCCGCUAAAGAACAUGAUCAUUAGCGGCGUUUUUUUCCUAAGCGCCGCUAAAGAACAUGAUCAUUAGCGGCGUUUUUUUCCUGAGUGCCGCUAAAGAACAUGAUCAUUAGCGGUGUUUUUUUCCUAAGUGCCGCUAAAGAACAUGACCUUUAGCGGCGUUUUUUUCUGUAAGCGCCGCAAAAGUUAGCGACGUUAUCCUUAGCGGCGUUUUUUGUGGCGCUUGAGGCAUUUAGUGGCGUUAAAAAGCGCCGCUAAAGGCCUAAAAAAACGCCGCUAAAAACCUGUUCUGGUGUAGUGACACUUCCAGCAAUUGAAUUGAAUGAAAAUUGCUAAUUCUUUUUUAUUCUCUAUUUGUUUCCUUGUUAAAAUAUAAUUUCUAAUGUGUGGUGUAGAAAAUAUUGUCCUUAAAUGUGCUAGAUGUCUAUUCAUUAUCUUUUUUAUCUUCAUGAUAUUUCUUAAACUACGCUUAUUUCCAGUUAAGAAAAUAAAUUGGUACCGUAGUUGCUUCUUUCUCUUGAAAAUCCGUGAUAAUACUUUUUACAAUGAUUUGUUACAGAUAUGGAAAUGCUAAUGUUUGGAAGAUCUUUACCGACCUUUUUGACUAUUUUCCAUUAACUGCUUUGGUGGGUAGAACUGAUAUGAGGUGCAAAUUGUUUUGAUUUCAAUUAAUAGCAACAUAAAUUUUUGGAAAGAAAGAACUAAAGGCAUGCAUAUUGGCCUCAGUCUCUUUGAUGUUUGGCAUUUUAUGUUUUAAUUGUAUUCAUUUGGCUUUGCAAUUGAAUAUUCUUAUUGUGCUCCAUAUUUUUUAUUAUCAUGGUUCUAGACUACUAUAUUAUAUUAGCUUUGAUCAUAUUCAUUCUAUCUGAAUUUUAAGUUUUUAGAACUCAUUUUGUCUUCUUGGUUGGGCAAGAAAAAGUUGGGAUUUAUAGCUUGCUACCUUUAUCCCGUUUCAUUUUGAAAUCAUUCUAAAUAGGAACUACAAGUCUCUUACUUUAAGAAAUGACACCAAAAUCUUUUGAAAUGUCUUAUGUGACAUUGUAACUAUCAUAUGUAUAACUUUAGAACUUUGUUUCUUUGUCCUCAGAAAGCGGCUUGAUUCAUCUCUUCAAGAUUUGGAAGAGAAACAACACGGCAAGAGAGAAGUGGUUGGUGUUCUUCUUCUUUUCUAUGUACCUUAGUUCUCUUUUAUGCUAUAUAAGACAUUUCUAUAUAACGUUAAACAACAGUAGUGCAGCAUGUUUCUGUUCUGCUUUUUGCAAAUUAAUACUAUUGUUCCUUGUUAUAGAUCGAGUAGUUUAGACAAUCAUUUGAAAGAAUGCCUAUUUGUGACACAUAGAAGAGCUAUGAUUGAGAUUGUUUGUUAGUAUGGUUCAACUUGCUACUAAAGCUGCACAUAAUUGUUUGUUAUAUUUUUUUUUUAGCCUUAAUGGGUAUAUAUAUAUUUUAUUUUUAACAUAUCUUUUGUUUAUUAAGUUUGUUGGUUUAUCUAAUCAUUUGGUUUUGCAUCCUUUAGAUAUUGAAGGUGUAGCAAAGGAUUCAAUCUCUUCAAGCUGGAAAAGCCAAGGCUUAGCACUUUUUCAAGUGGAAUUUUAUUUAAUGUUGCAUUCCAUGGUCGUUUAUCUUAGUCGGAACUUGAAUUUGGUGUUAUUGAAACAAGGUUUUGUAGCUAUCUUGUGUACUAGCUUCUUUAACCAUGAUUGUUAAUUAUUACGUGUUUUGUAGCUUCUUUCAUAAUUGGCCGAGUUAAUAUAGAUCAGAUGAGCUGUGAGGUAGAUUGCUCAUUUAUUUAAACAUAAUAUUUAAAUUCUAAAUUCUAAAUUUAUUAAUUUUUAUGUUUAGUUUUAAAGUUAAAAUUUUAAUAGAAAAUUUAAUUUA
rnacentral:lncRNA from 1 species